GGAUAACCUACCCUUAGGACUGGGAUAACCCUGGGAAACUGGGGAUAAUACUGGAUAGGCAAUUUUUCCUGGAAUGGUUUUUUGUUUAAAUGUUUUUUCGCCUAAGGAUGGGUCUGCGGCCGAUUAGGUAGUUGGUUAGGUAACGGCUUACCAAGCCACUGAUCGGUACGGGUUGUGAGAGCAAGAGCCCGGAGAUGGAACCUGAGACAAGGUUCCAGGCCCUACGGGGUGCAGCAGGCGCGAAACCUCCGCAAUGUGAGAAAUCGCGACGGGGGGAUCCCAAGUGCCAUUCUUAACGGGAUGGCUUUUCAUUAGUGUAAAGAGCUUUUGGAAUAAGGGCUGGGCAAGACCGGUGCCAGCCGCCGCGGUAACACCGGCAGCUCUAGUGGUAGCAGUUUUUAUUGGGCCUAAAGCGUCCGUAGCCGGUUUAAUAAGUCUCUGGUGAAAUCCUGUAGCUUAACUGUGGGAAUUGCUGGAGAUACUAUUAGACUUGAGACCGGGAGAGGUUAGAGGUACUCCCAGGGUAGAGGUGAAAUUCUGUAAUCCUGGGAGGACCGCCUGUUGCGAAGGCGUCUAACUGGAACGGUUCUGACGGUGAGGGACGAAAGUUAGGGGCGCGAACCGGAUUAGAUACCCGGGUAGUCCUAACUGUAAACGAUGCGGACUUGGUGUUGGGGUGGCUUUGAGCUGCUCCAGUGCCGAAAGGGAAGCUGUUAAGUCCGCCGCCUGGGAAG
rnacentral:rRNA from 1 species